UGAACGCUUACAACUGAUCCGUCAGCACAGACCAGCGAUGGCCUUCACUGCACUCUUCCUGUGGUCUCUCGUCGUCUGCAUUCAAGAUUCCAUGGGACAGGUCACUCUUACGCAACCUCCAACAGUGACCAGCAGUCCAGGAGGCUCGGUUAAAAUCAGCUGUAAACGGACUGGAAGCAUUCAUUGGGACUGUUCUUCUCCAAAUAAAUGCAUCUCCUGGUACCAACAGCAGUCUGGAGAGAAACCCAAACUCCUCAUCUACUACGUGAGCAGCCUCCAGUCUGGUAUUCCAUCUCGGUUUAGUGGCAGUGGAUCUGGGAAUGACUUCAGUCUGACCAUCAGUGGAGUCCAGAGUGAAGAUGCAGGAGAUUAUUACUGCAUGAGUUACCAUGACAUCAGAAAGGAUGUCGGUGAGUUCCCACGGUGAUACAGAGCCGUACAAAAACCUGCUUCAGUCAGUAGCCCCAGUGAGAGCCCUCUGCUGCAGCUGGAGCCCAGAGCAGGUGCUGAGAAGAGGGAAGUGGAGAGGAGUCACAUGGACAUGACACCAGGUUCCCACGCUAGUCUCUCACCACCAACACCUUACCUUUUAAACCAUGCUGGAAGCACACGGACAUGACACCAGGUUCCCACGCUAGUCUCUCACCACCAACACCUUACCUUUUAAACCAUGCUGGAAGCACACGGACAUGACACCAGGUUCUCACGCUAGUCAAUCACUACCAUCUUACCUUUUUAACCAUGCUGGAAGAGGACACAGACAUGACACCAGGUUCUCACGCUAGUCUCUCACCACCAACACCUUACCUUUUAAACCAUGCUGGAAGCACACGGACAUGACACCAGAGGUGAGUUCAAAUUUGGUAAACAGUGGAAAACGAGCCUGGCGAAUAUGUUUUCUCUAAACAGUUCAAUUUGAACUGGUUUGGUGUUAACAUCCCUAUGUAACAGCCAGCUCACGUUAGGCUACCCCCUUAGUGUCUGGGUUGGUUUGUAAAGGAGUUGCAGUAAAAGACUGUAAAGGACUGUCAUUUUGUAAACAAAAACCGAUAUCAACAUGGAGACCUAAACAACAGAAGCUGUAGAUCAUUCAGACUGCCUAGUGACCUCAAUCCUGUGUGUGAACAUCCAGUUACAGUAAGAUGACCCACACUGUGCCUUCAGCCUGCAGCACUCUAAUGGUCAGGGGGAAGAUGACCCUGACCCUCUGCCACUGAACCGAACUGGAACACCAGAACCUCCGGAUGUAGUCUGCUGUACAGUACCUGGACAGUCAUAGAUCACCUGUGGGAUCACCUGUGGGUCCCUUCAGCAGUCCUGAUAUGGAGGUGGACUUGUUACUCCUGGAUUAACAGUGUUUCAGUGCAAGAGAUCACACACAUAUUGUUUGGAAUUACAAAUAUAUUGCUUCCUCUCACAAAUACUGCUUGGGAUAUUGGGAUAUUCUGCUCAGGCUAUAUGAUCUGAGGAUGACAAGCAUUAAUCAAGUCUAAUAAUUGAAAUACAUUACCCUGAAAAGAUAUGAAAAGUGUCCAGAGAAAGAUGGAGAUAAAAAGUCAUGUCUGUAGAGAAUUGUAAACGUAGCACAGCCUGCACUUAUACAGUACUAUCAUCAAAAGAUGGUUAGUGGCUAUAAUGUGUUUAGCCUGCAGAACGAUGACGUAAUAAUGACGUAAGAGGAGCUGUCCUUACCGGGUGUGGUGCUGAAAUGCCAACAUGACAAAUGCCAUUAGUGAAUAUCUUUUGUGUUACAUCUAGAAACAUUAAAAUUGUAAUUUCAUAUCACUGUUGGAUUGAUUGAUUGGUGGAUUGAUUGGUUGGUCUUGACAAACUAAAAUACGUCCUGUCUGGCUGUGGUGCGGAAAUGUUGCAGAAUUGCUAAAUCUAUAUCAAUGUAAGAAUUGUAAUUUCAUGUCACUAUACUAUUUAAUAAAGGAAAGCAUCCUUGCAA